rnacentral:rRNA from 1 species
UACAGAGGUCUCGAGCGUUUGUUCGGAUUCAUUGGGCGUAAAGGGUGCGUAGGUGGCACUGUAAGUCGGGUGUGAAAUUUCGGAGCUUAACUCCGAAACUGCAUUCGAUACUGGCGUGCUUGAGGACUGGAGAGGAGACUGGAAUUUACGGUGUAGCAGUGAAAUGCGUAGAUAUCGUAAGGAAGACCAGUGGCGAAGGCGGGUCUCUGGACAGUUCCUGACGCUGAGGCACGAAGGUCAGGGGAGCAAAACGGG